UACAGAGGGGGCAAGCGUUGUUCGGAAUUACUGGGCGUAAAGCGCGCGCAGGCGGCUAUCCAAGUCAGUGGUGAAAGCCCGGAGCUCAACUCCGGAACUGCCAUUGAAACUGUUUAGCUUGAGGACGAGAGAGGUGAGUGGAAUUCCCGGCGUAGCAGUGAAAUGCGUAGAGAUCGGGAGGAACAUCAGUUGCGAAGGCGGCUCUCUGGACCAGUACUGACGCUGAGGCACGAAAGCGUGGGGAGCAAACAGG
rnacentral:rRNA from 1 species